rnacentral:rRNA from 1 species
AUUGAACGCUGGCGGCAGGCCUAACACAUGCAAGUCGAGCGAGUGGCGGACGGGUGAGGAAUGUAUGGGGACUGCCCGAUAGCGGGGGAUAACUACUGGAAACGGUAGCUAAUACCGCAUACUAUCGGAUAACCCAUAUGGGAUUAGCUAGUAGGUGAGGUAAUGGCUCACCUCGGUGACGAUCCCUAGCUGGUCUGAGAGGAUGAUAAGCCACACGUGGAUUGAGACACGGCCCGAACUCCUACGGAGGCAGCAGUGGGGAAUAUUGUGCAAUGGGCGAAAGCCUGAUACAGCAAUGACGCGUGUAUGAAGAAGGCCCUAGGGUUGUAAAGUCCUUUUAGUCGGGAGGCGUUACCGACAGAAGAAGCACCGGCUAACUCCGUGCCAGCAGCCGCGGUAAUUC